rnacentral:lncRNA from 1 species
UUUCAUAGAACCAUUCGCAGUCGAUACAAAUCUAUAGUCUUUUCUCUCUGAAAAUUGCAGAAAGAGUAUAGGGAGGGAAAUUAAUGAAUGACGUAACUAGAAGUCAGUGUAAUACAGGCGUGCAUGUAAGAAACUGAGAAGGAAAGCGUGUGAUUUGGAUAUUGCAUUUCCUUCUUCCCUAUUGAAUGCUUGGCACACUGCAAAAGAAAAAAAAACUUCACCUCUUAACUCUCCCUUUGGACUUUUUCUUGAUCUCUUUUUUCCUCCUCUCUCUUCGUUUGUCAUAUAAUGGCGGCAGAUUUUACCUAAACUUGACGUGAAAUAAAUAGAGUGAGAGAUUCCAAUCCAUAGAAAUAUUAGUACACAUUUUGCUUGCGUGUUUACCUAGGUUAAAAUUAUCAAUGCACUAAACAGGUAGCUGCUAUCUUCGACUGCAUUUCUAGAGAAUUUUUUUUUUUUUAUCUCUUUCAUCUCAUUUUAUAUGAUAUUAUUACUAUUAUUUGAAGAGUCAGACAAUAUUCGAUUUUAAGAAUAUAUUGUUUGUUUUACUUUUCUCUAUCAACUGUUUUAUAUUUAGAUGAACGGGGUUAUAUUACACAAUUGGAGUAUUUGCUAAAGUAGGAAAUUUGCCCCUAUUUAUCAAUUCAUGAUGAUGACGAGAGCUUUGGAAGAAAUGCCAGUGCAGUUGGGGGGUUGGAUAAUGAAUAAGGGGAUAAGCCGUCGUAAAUCAAAGACGGAUCCAGGAUUUGAAUUAUAUAAGCUUUUUAAGAUUUUUACUAUUAAAUUCAUUAUAUUUCUAAAACUAUGAAGUUCAUAUCUAUUAUCCAUUUGUUAUAUUUUUAGCAAAUUUUUACGCAUAAAUUUAUGCUAUGCAUCAAAAGUUAUGAAUUUAGUUACACACGAUCGAUGUUAGAAGGCUAGAUCUGCCUCUCUCGUCAAUAUAAAUGACCAUAGAUGAUUGUCGUGAGAUUAAUAUGAUUCUUCUACUCAUAAUCAGAAUUCUCGAUCUAAAUGAUAAGAAAAAAUAUUUGUUUAAUGAAUUUUAUGCGGGGCGAAUUCAAAUUAAUCAAGACAUUAAUGCGAAUAUCAAACAUCGAAUAUCGAACGAAAAAACCCAAAAAUCGUCAUAUGUGUAGCGAGAGGUAUAGGGUCAUAGUACAAUAGAUAAUGUCAGAGGUCCAUCAUUGUCUCAAUAAUAUAAUCAGCGUGCAUAUAGAGUACUCUGCUAUAAAGCUUUUAAACUGCAGAAACUUACAAAGAAAGAAGCCUGUACUCAGUCAUGACGUUUCCCUCAACCCUCCCCUAGCAUCUUGUAGACUUGGGGUUGGUUUUCUCGCCUUACUCUUUCUUUUCC